rnacentral:rRNA from 1 species
UGCCACCCCAGGUUGGGGGAGACUACCCGCUGAUGUUCCUUCUAUCGGUUGCG